CCUACGGGGGGCUGCAGUCGAGAAUCUUUCGCAAUGGGGGCAACCCUGACGAAGCGACGCCGCGUGCAGGAUGAAGGCCUUCGGGUUGUAAACUGCUGUCAGCUGGGAAGAAACAGGCGGCGACCAAUAAUCGCUGUCUUUGACGGUACCAGCAGAGGAAGCCACGGCUAACUCUGUGCCAGCAGCCGCGGUAAUACAGAGGUGGCAAGCGUUGUUCGGAUUCAUUGGGCGUAAAGGGUCCGUAGGCGGAUUGGAAAGUCAGAUGUGAAAUCCUACAGCUUAACUGUGGAAUUGCAUUUGAAACUUCCAGUCUGGAGUGUGAGAGGGGUGAAGGGAAUUCCCGGUGUAAGGGUGAAAUCUGCAGAGAUCGGGAAGAACACCAGUCGCGAAGGCGCUUCACUGGCUCAUUACUGACGCUGAGGGACGAAAGCUAGGGGAGCGAACGGGAUUAGAUACCCCAGUAGUC
rnacentral:rRNA from 1 species